CAAUCUAUAUAAGAAUGCGAAACUCUUCUCAAGUUCACUCCUCAAUUGCACUUCCUGGUUCUUGUUCCUCUUAAAUUUGGUUUUCUGUGGUACUAUUGUUCUUUAUUUUCUCUUCUUCUUUCCCAAUUGUUGGGUUCUUUCUUUCUCUGCUAUAACUUUGAAUAAUGGGAAUGGAGUAAUGGGAUCAAGGCUCUACUGUGGGUGAAUUUCAGAGGCUCGGUUCAACAAAAUUUCUACGGGAGGGGAAUUGUUGGUGCUUUUGCAAAAUCUGAUUGAUUAGGGUUUUAAAGAAUGUAUGAAUCAACAAUGAGUCCAAAUUCCACAUUCUUGCAAUGAAGUUGUAUGAGCCCUGUGUAAUAAUUGGCAGAAGGAUACUCUAACUGGAAUAAAAAUUGGCAGAAAUACCAAGGGAGUUUUACUAUUUCUCAAGCAUGGAAAAUUUUGGCAUCUUAUAUUGUAUGUUGACUCUAAUUAUGAAAUGCUCAUAUAAUUUUCACUUAUAAAUUGCAGCUCAAUUUAGUUAUAUUAAGGAAUCUGAGGAGAUUCGUCUUGCUAUGUUACCAUUGGAGUUGAUAAAGAGAGUGUUUCAAAUUGGUUUUGUUUAUUUAUUGUGUUUCUUGCUAAAUAGUAUUUUCUGAGCAUAACUUGUUCCCAGGAUGUCCAAAGUAGGAAUGUUAUUUGAAAAUAAUUAUUUUCCUAACACAUUUGAUUUCUAGAACAAACAUUAUACCUCAUUUUUUGUUAAAUAUUCAUCCUUUAGCGACAACAUUGUCAACCUUAAAGGGGUCAUUUUUCAAGUCAUUCAAGAAGCACUUUCCUUAUAGUUGUUUCAGGGUACUGGACUUUAUUAAGCAACUUGCCAUAUCUGUAUUUCUUUAGCCAUAUUUUUCAGGGUUUCGCUUCAUUGCUGAGAGGAUGUGAAUUUGAAAGGAGGAAUGUAAUACUGUCCCAUAGCAUGGCGCUAUAUUGUCAUUCUACUGCCUCAUGAAAAACUAAACCUGUAUUUUUCUCCUGGACAAAGUCUGGUCAUUGGAAGAGAAAUUGUGGAGUUGUAGUUCUGCAGCUUGUCAUGUGAAAUCCUCAUUGAUGUUAAUCAGAUACUCAGAUCUCCAAUUUGUCCCUUUUUAUCCGAAUCUAGAUUGAAAAGUCAAACUUUAUCCAUAAUUACGUGUGGCCAUGGGGUAUUUCAAGAUGAGUGUUAUAAUUAACUUUUUCAACAUGGCUACAAGUUCACACACAAGAAUCCCCAUCCUCUUAAGCUUUUUCAUUUUUGCAUUUUGCAGUUUGGAUUUUACCAUUAAAAAUUGGCAGUACUAAUGCUUUCAUGUUUUAGUUAUAACUUAAAAUUUACCUCAAAAAAUUGGCAAAUAAGAUUUAUUAAACUUUUGAGUGGGCCAAUAUUUGUUACUCAAUGCUGCAAAAGUGUCAUUUGACUUCCUUUGAGGGGCUGAUAACGGGUCAGAAAUGUUUUAUUCAAUGACCGGAGGUUCGGUUAUGCUGAAUUUUUACACGAAUGAUUUCUCUGUGACUGUGAAUGUCUUCCUUCAUAGGUGAGAGAGAUUGAGCAGGAUGUAUACACCGAAUCAGAAACAGCCCAGAAGAAAGACUCGAAGCAGACUGCUGCAGUUGAUCUGUCUAAAAGGUUAAAAGAUACCUGUUCCUUAAAUGACGCUGCCAGCCUGAAAGGUAUCUUUCUUUCCUCCUUGUAAAUCUACUUUGAUUUCUACUUUAUUAUAUGUGCACAUGUUCAAAGAUCGAACUCCGAAUAUGUGAUGCUCAUCACUUCUCUGUUGUCAGAAAAAUAUAAAUUGAGUUGAAGUGUAUACAUGGAGUCUUUAUUUCAUUGUAUUUGGAUCAUCAUUACCAACAUGACAUAUGCAUGAGGGUCUUUUAUUGAUUCAGUAAAGCUUAUACGGUUAGGAAUAAUAAAUUCCUUGUAGGCUUAUACAUCUUUACUGUUAAACAAAUGAUCAGUUACUCAGUUUCUACAAUUUAGUGCAUUCUUUUUCUUUUGACAUGGAUUUGGCUAGACAUGCAUCUUCUGCCAGAAGUAUUUUGAAUCUUGUACUCUAUAAAUCCCAACAGUUUUUUCUCAUUUGCAUAUUACUUCAAACCUCUGAGGCUCUAAAGUCCCAUUUGGUAGCAAUCUUAGGAUACAAAACAUGGAGAUAUUGAGACAGUAGAGACGAAAAAAAUCUGUCCCUAUUGCUCCCAUGCAGUGAUCAGAGAAUACAAAGACACAUCUUGGAACAAAAAUAUUUUUGUUUCUCCUUCUCAAGUUUUACAGUCUCCACCUGAGCUUCAGUGUGCUUGCUGUGCUGGCUCUGUUACAAAGACAGCCAAUGGUGCCUUUGUUAUCAUUCCAAAAUGCUGAUUUCAUUUUUAUGUCUUCACUCUAGCUGAUUGCCUACUGAACCAACAAACUUGUACCUACAAUUCAAGACAUGCACAAUUCUGAUUGCUA